CUAAGUUUGAUGGCGACCGGCGCACGGGUGAGUAACACGUAUCCAACCUGCCGAUGACUCGGGGAUAGCCUUUCGAAAGAAAGAUUAAUACCCGAUGGCAUAGUUCUUCCGCAUGGUAGAACUAUUAAAGAAUUUCGGUCAUCGAUGGGGGUGCGUUCCAUUAGGUUGUUGGCGGGGUAACGGCCCACCAAGCCUUCGAUGGAUAGGGGUUCUGAGAGGAAGGUCCCCCACAUUGGAACUGAGACACGGUCCAA
rnacentral:rRNA from 1 species